UGAGGGCGAGUUGCAGCCCUCAAUCCGGACUAAGAUUGGCUUUAGGAGAUUUCCAUCCCCUUUCGGGGUAGAUACCCAUUGUACCAACCAUUGUAGCUCGCGUGUAGCCCGGGAUAUUCGGGGCAUACUGACCUACCGUUGCCCAUUCCUUCCUCCGCUUUAGNCAGCGGCGGUCCCCACAGUGUACCCGUCACUCCGGAGAGUACGCUGGCAACUGUGGGCGUGGGUCUCGCUCGUUGCCGACUUAACAGGAUGCUUCACAGUACGAACUGACGACGGCCAUGCACCACCUCUCAGCUAAUCCGGCAAAGUCUUCAGCCUGGCCUUCAUAUGCUGUCGGUCCCGGUAAGAUUUCCGGCGUGAAUCCAAUUAAACCGCAAGCUCCACCCGUUGUGGUGCUCCCCCGCCAAUUCCUUUAAGUUUCAG
rnacentral:rRNA from 1 species